rnacentral:rRNA from 1 species
AUACGGAGGGUGCAAGCGUUAUCCGGAUUCAUUGGGUUUAAAGGGUACGUAGGCGGAUAGAUAAGUUAGUGGUGAAAUCCCGAAGCUCAACUUCGGAACUGCCAUUAAAACUGUCUAUCUUGAAUUUGGUUGAAGUGGGCGGAAUAUGACAUGUAGCGGUGAAAUGCAUAGAUAUGUCAUGGAACACCGAUAGUGAAGACAGCUCACUAAGCCAAUAUUGACGCUGAGGUACGAAAGCGUGGGGAGCGAACAGGAUUAGAAACCCUAGUAGUCC